AGAUAAAGUACACACUCAACUUCUGGUCUAAGGUUUUUACUGACAUAACCAUGAUGUGGGGGAAACAAACUGGACUUGGAGUCAGAAUAUUUGGUUUCUAGUCCUGACUG
ensembl:miRNA